rnacentral:rRNA from 1 species
GUAUGAAAAUUGGUGAUUUAUAAUAACUUAGCAAAUCGCAAAGUGAAAACAGGCGAUAAAUCAUUCAAGUUUCUGACCUAUCAGCUUUCGACGGUAUGGUAUUGGCUUACCGUGGCAGUGACGGUUAACGGGGGAUUAGGGUUCGAUUCCGGAGAGGGAGCCUGAGAAACGGCUACCACAUCUAAGGAAGGCAGCAGGCGCGCAAAUUACCCAAUUCUAACAGUUUGAGAGAGGUAGUAACAAGAAAUAACAAUACAAGGCAGUUAAAAUGCUUUGUAAUUGGAAUGAUAGAAAUUUAAACCCUUUUUAAAGUAUCAAUUGGAGGGCAAGUCUGGUGCCAGCAGCCGCGGUAAUUCCAGCUCCAAUAGCGUAUAUUAAAAUUGUUGCAGUUAAAAAGCUCGUAGUUGAAGUUCUGCUGAAAGUAACCGGUCUGCUUUUAAUAAAAGUGGUAUCUUGGUAUGUAUUUAGCAAUGAUGUCCUUUGA